ensembl:lncRNA
GGUCCAGCAUGGUGGUGGUGGUGUGAAGGUUUGGGGUCAGCAUGGUGGUGGUGGUAGUGCGAUGGUUUGGGGUCCAGCAUGGUGGGGGUAGUGUGAUGGUUUGGGGUCAGCAUGGUGGGGGUAGUGUGAUGGUUUGGGGUCAGCAUGGUGGUGGUGUGAUGGUUUGGGGUCAGCAUGGUGGUGGUAGUGUGAUGGUUUGGGGUCCAGCAUGGUGGUGGUAGUGUGAUGGUUUGGGGUCCAGCAUGGUGGUGGUAGUGUGAUGGUUUGGGGUCCAGCAUGGUGGUGGUGGUAGUGUGAUGGUUUGGGGUCAGCAUGGUGGUGGUAGUGUGAUGGUUAGGGGUCCAGCAUGGUAGUGGUAGGGUGAUGGUUUGGGGUCCAGCAUGGUGGUGGUAGUGUGAUGGUUUGGGGUCCAGCAUGGUGGUGGUAGUGUGAUGGUUUGGGGUCCAGCAUGGUGGUGGUAGUGUGAUGGUAGUUGGAUGGUUUGGGGUCAGCAUGGUGGUGGUAGUGUGAUGGUUUGGGGUCCAGCAUGGUGGUGGUGAUGUGUGAUGGUUUGGGGUCAGCAUGGUGGUGGUAGUGUGAUGGUUUGGGGUCCAGCAUGGUGGUGGUAGUGUGAUGGUAGUGUGAUGGUUUGGGGCAUGGUGGUGGUAGUGUGAUGGUUUGGGGUCCAGCGUGGUGGUGGUCGUGUGAUGGUUUGGGGUCAGCAUGGUGGUGGUGGUAGUGUGAUGGUUUGGGGUCAAGCAUGGUGGUGGUAGUGUGAUGGUUUGGGGUCAGCAUGGUGGUGGUAGUGUGAUGGUUUGGGGUCAGCAUGGUGGUGGUAGUGUGAUGGUUUGGGGUCAGCAUGGUGGUGGUAGGGUGAUGGUAGUGUGAUGGUUUGGGGUCAAGCAUGGUGGUGGUAGUGUGAUGGUUUGGGGUCAAGCAUGGUGGUGGUAGUGUGAUGGUUUGGGGUCAGCAUGGUGGUGGUAGUGUGAUGGUUUGGGGUCAGCAUGGGUGGUGCUAGUGUGAUGGUAGUGUGAUGGUUUGGGGUCAAGCAUGGUGGUGGUAGUGUGAUGGUAUGGGGUCAGCAUGGUGGUGGUAGUGUGAUGGUAGUGUGAUGGUUUGGGGUCAGCAUGGUGGUGGUAGUGUGAUGUUUUGGGGUCAGCAUGGUAGUGGUAGUGUGAUGGUUUGGGGUCUAGCAUGGUGGUGGUGGUAGUGUAAUGGUUUGGGGUCUAGCAUGGUGGUGGUGGUAGUGUAAUGGUUUGGGG